UACGAAGGGGGCGAGCCGUUAUUUCGGAAUCACUGGGCGUAAAGCGUGCGUAGGCUGCUUAGAAAGUUGGAAGUGAAAGCCCAGGGCUCAACCCUGGAAUUGCUUUCAAAACUACGUAGGCUAGGAUUUGGGGAGAGGAUAGGCGGAAUUGUCAGUGUAGCAGUGAAAUGCGUAGAUAUUGACAGGAACACCAGUGGCGCAAGCGGCUAUCGUGGACCAACAUCGACGCUGAGGCACGAAAGCGUGGGGAUCAAACAGG
rnacentral:rRNA from 1 species